ACCAAGUUGUUCAGGAAAAAUAUCUCACAACACUUCCAAUCAGAAUUCAGAGGAAAUGUCACCUACGUAAACUGCAACUUGACCAACAGUUACUUACAGAGAACCAGUUUAAGGUUUAUUUUCCACCACUGUGACUUUGUGCCCUUCUGUAAGCAUAUCAGGGAAAAGGAAGUCGAUGAUUUUACUCACUUACUUUCUCGGUCUCUGGUGUCCUUCCUAUAAAUUUACUGCAAGAGGUGAGAGAGAGCU